rnacentral:rRNA from 1 species
AGGACGAACGCUGGCGGCGUGCUUAACACAUGCAAGUCGAACGAGAAUCUACUGAAAGAGUUUUCGGACAAUGGAAGUAGAGGAAAGUGGCGGACGGGUGAGUAACACGUGAGCAACCUGCCUUCAGAGGGGGAUAACGGCUGGAAACGGUCGCUAAUACCGCAUAAGCCCACGGGUCGGCAUCGACCAGAGGGAAAAGGAGCAAUCCGCUUUGAGAUGGCCUCGCGUCCGAUUAGCUAGUUGGUGAGGUAAUGGCCCACCAAGGCGACGAUCGGUAGCCGGACUGAGAGGUUGAACGGCCACAUUGGGACUGAGACACGGCCCAGACUCCUACGGGAGGCAGCAGUGGGGAAUAUUGCACAAUGGGGGAAACCCUGAUGCAGCGACGCCGCGUGGAGGAAGAAGGUCUUCGGAUUGUAAACUCCUGUUGUUGAGGAAGAUAAUGACGGUACUCAACAAGGAAGUGACGGCUAACUACGUG